rnacentral:rRNA from 1 species
AAAUUGAAGAGUUUGAUCAUGGCUCAGAUUGAACGCUGGCGGCAGGCCUAACACAUGCAAGUCGAACGGUAACAGGAAGAAGCUUGCUUCUUUGCUGACGAGUGGCGGACGGGUGAGUAAUGUCUGGGAAACUGCCUGAUGGAGGGGGAUAACUACUGGAAACGGUAGCUAAUACCGCAUAACGUCGCAAGACCAAAGAGGGGGACCUUCGGGCCUCUUGCCAUCGGAUGUGCCCAGAUGGGAUUAG